rnacentral:tRNA from 1 species
GGGCGGGUGGCGGAAUUGGCAGACGCGCCAGACUUAGGAUCUGGUGGGGAAACCCUUGGAGGUUCAAGCCCUCUCCCGCCCA